AUGAAAUCAUUUAAAACGAUUUUUUUUAUAGAAAUAACUAUAUAAUUACGUCGUAUGAUCAUCCUCGGGAUUUUUAAUAAGCAUGAAAUUAAAAAUUAAAGGAGUGGGAUAUGAUAAAAAUAUGACAAUGACAGGGAAAUAUGAAGUUCCUGGCACGUGAUUGUCUAGAAACAAUCAGAUGUCGCGUUAUAUAGAAUAAUCAUAUUAAGGUAUAAUACUAAAUUAAUAUAUAAUAUACUUGAUAUUUUGUUUAUGACGAUACAUAAUCAGUCGGUGGUAGAUGUACCUGGCGGAGGCGUAAUGUUGUAAUAAGGAAAUAGUACAAAUAUGUUAACUAAGCAAUACUGACCACGAAGGUUAAAUUGAAUUCAGAUGUCAAGGCGGCGCAGUGAAUACGUAUUAGAUGUAGUGGGAAUCUCGGAACAAAACCUUUUAGGCCAAGCAUUGCUUAAAUAAAAACUUUACUACCCAGUAUGUAAAGGGGCUGAUAACGUCAUUUUACUGUAUGUAUACUUAUUGUUUAUACAAUGAUUAAAACAAAGGGGCUAAAUAUCUACUACUUUUAACAUACCAACUGAUGUCAACAGUUCUAUGAUUCUAGAUAUAUAAAUAAAAUUGCCACAACUACCAGUGUAUAAAAAAUAUCAAAGGCCUUUCAUAACUAAACAAGGUUGACUAUGCCAUAGGGAGGAUUUAUUUUGAGAAAGGGGGUAAAUAAGCGAAACAAAUCGCAAACAAAAUGUCAAGCAAAAUACCCAUUGAAAUUCUAUGCAUCCGGUAAGUUGCAUAAUAGCGGAUUCUUGAAAGAGGUUUACAAGUCAAUUCAAUUUUCAAUUUGUCAAACAAGAGCAGAUUCGGCCACAAAAGAGAGACCACAUACUGUAAUUAAUUUGAGAUUUGUUUUGCUCUAGAAGUAUCCUGGUCGGUAUCAUAGAUCUAAAGAAUGAGAUACAUAACGGAUGUAAUAUACACAGCGAAUAUAUAAAUAUUCAAAUAUGGUUCAGAGAGCAUUUGUGUGUGACGUUUGCCUUUGCUCAAAAUAUUAAUAAUUUCAUAGAUUAAAAUAGCCAUCUAGUUCUUAUUAACGAUAAAGAGUAUACAAGUAUUGCAUUAGUGUCAUAUGUUUUUUAGAUGAAGUGUUCAAACAGCAAGAUGUUCGCCGUCAUAGGCCGUCAUUGUCAGGACAACACAAACAGUCUUGAGCCAUUAAUAUCCAAGGAUUUAACAUUGUUGGACUAUUCUGGCGCGACGGAUCAGUGGAUUGCCGUCAUUGUUUUUCUUAUCCUUAUGACUCUCCUCUUGACGUUGUCCAUAUUUUUAUACUUUUACUCAAGAGCCGAUAAUGCAUACCCAAUGAAUGAACAUACACGUUACGUAGCAAGUGCUCGACAGCAACCUUAACCUUAACGCAAGUAAAUGGUGAAUACAAAAACCGUUUUUAUUUUUUCAUUCGAUGAAAGAUUACGCAUUCAAAUCUUGCCUAUAUGGCCGAGUGGUUACUGCUGUGGCCGCUUACUGCUAGUAGAGUGGAUUCAAGAGGUCGCGACUUCAAGCCCCGGUCGGAGCGGAGGUGGAACUCUAACAUAGUGAUUUUCCCUGUGCUUUAUGUAUAUCUACAUGUAAAUCCUUUACUAAGGUCUGGUAUAUGUUAAUUCUUUUGAAAUGUAGACCUCAGAAGACACAUCAAGUAUAUGCAGUUAGAAUAUUAUUCUCAGGCACUCGAACAGUUUCAAAAGCCAAUUAUUCUUGAUGCUCCUAAAACCACAUGGGACGUUGACAAUAGUGAUAUGCUUAAUUUUUGCAAUUUACAAUUUUUUUCCAUUACAAAAUUGCAUUGGCAUUGUUUGAAAACAUAUAUUUUAUUAUAAUUACGAAAUAAAGGAGACAUUCGAAAUUCGAAAGGCACUUUUUGAAAGUUUAUAUUUUCAGAAAGUGUGUCUGUUCUUCUUUUUAAAUAUUGAGUUUGUACUUGCUUGUCUAGUAGAUAUUUUGAUAUCUCUUUUUGAUGAUUAGCUAAACUAAAAUAUUUGUACAUUUGUUGUAAAUAAAAUAAUAUAAGCAUGCGAUUUAUCUACCUCAUUAAAAUCUUGUUGUUCGU
rnacentral:sRNA from 1 species